UACGUAGGUGGCAAGCGUUAUCCGGAUUUAUUGGGCGUAAAGGGAACGCAGGCGGUCUUUUAAGUCUGAUGUGAAAGCCUUCGGCUUAACCGGAGUAGUGCAUUGGAAACUGGGAGACUUGAGUGCAGAAGAGGAGAGUGGAACUCCAUGUGUAGCGGUGAAAUGCGUAGAUAUAUGGAAGACCACCAGUGGCGAAAGCGGCUCUCUGGUCUGUAACUGACGCUGAGGUUCGAAAGCGUGGGUAGCAAACAGG
rnacentral:rRNA from 1 species